UACGAGGGGGGCAAAUGUUGUUCGGAAUCACUGGGCUUAAAGGGCGCGUAGGCGGGCCGCCGCGUCCGGGGUGAAAUCCUCCCGCUCAACGGGAGAACGGCCUCGGAUACGGGCGGCCUGGAGGGGGGUAGGGGCGUGCGGAACUGUGGGUGGAGCGGUGAAAUGCGUUGAUAUCCACAGGAACUCCGGUGGCGAAGGCGGCACGCUGGACCCCACCUGACACUGAGGCGCGAAAGCCAGGGGAGCGAACGGG
rnacentral:rRNA from 1 species